rnacentral:lncRNA from 1 species
GACACUUGUAGAUCUGGAAUGUGGAAGUGCCCCAGAAUGAUCAUGAUUUAACGUUUGAGAUAAACUUUUGAUGAAAUUUCAGAUCAAUUCCUACGUCCUUUGGAAGAUACGUUUUAUCAUGACUUUAUAAUUCAGAAGAGAAACUUUAAUUUCUGUAGAAAAUUAUAAAAGAUGGUGAGACUAAGUUUCUCUCUAUAUAUAAAAUGAGAGGAUUGGAAGAUUGAGAUGAAGUCAUCUCCUAAGGGACCUACAUUUAAAAGCAAUCAGCUUCAUGGACCUGAAAGGACCUUCAAGGGCUUGACUGGCAAAACAUGUCUUGGAAAGAGGAUGAAUUCACCCAAGACCAAGAGAGGCUGAGGAAAGGAGGUGUGAAACUCGUCUCCGGGAUGCGCAGCAGUGGGCCGGGUGCGGUGGCUCACGCCUGUAAUCCCAGCACUUUGGAAAGCCGAAGUGGGUGGAUCGCUUGAGCCCUGGAGUUCGAGACCAGCCUGGGCAACAUGGUGAAACCCUGUCUCUACUAAAAACACAAAAACUAGCCGAGCAUGGUGGCGGGCACCUGUAAUCCCAGCUACUCAUGAGGCUGAGGCACAAGAAUUGCUUGAACCCAGGAGGCGGACGUUGCAGUGAGCCGAGAUCAUGCCAGUGCACUCCAGCCUGGGCAAAAGAGCAAGACUCCGUCUCAAAAAAAAAAAAAAAAAAAAAAAGAUACACAGCAGUGAUGGCUUGGCACUACCAGCAGCCAUCUUGCUACCUGUUUGAGAAUGAAGCCAAACAAAAUCAAAUAAACCCCGAAAGAUGGAAA